rnacentral:misc_RNA from 1 species
GAAAUGCGAUAAGUAGUGUGAAUUGCAGAAUUCAGUGAAUCAUCGAAUCUUUGAACGCACAUUGCGCCCCUUGGUAUUCCAUGGGGCAUGCCUGUUCGAGCGUCAUCUACACCCUCAAGCUCUGCUUGGUGUUGGGCGUCUUUGUCCCGCCUCCGCGCGCGGACUCGCCCCAAAUUCAUUGGCAUCGGUCCUUGCCUCCUCUCGCGCAGCACAUUGCGCUUCUCGAGGUGUUGCGGCCCGCGUCCAGAAAGCAAUCGUUACCGUCUUUGACCUCGGAUCAGGUAGGGAUACCCGCUGAACUUAAGC